UUGAACGCUGGCGGCAUGCCUUACACAUGCAAGUCGAACGGUAACAGGUCUUCGGAUGCUGACGAGUGGCGAACGGGUGAGUAAUACAUCGGAACGUGCCCGAUCGUGGGGGGUAACGCAGCGAAAGCUGUGCUAAUACCGCAUACGAUCUACGGAUGAAAGCGGGGGAUCGCAAGACCUCGCGCGGACGGAGCGGCCGAUGGCAGAUUAGGUAGUUGGUGGGAUAAAAGCUUACCAAGCCGACGAUCUGUAGCUGGUCUGAGAGGACGACCAGCCACACUGGGACUGAGACACGGCCCAGACUCCUACGGGAGGCAGCAGUGGGGAAUUUUGGACAAUGGGCGAAAGCCUGAUCCAGCAAUGCCGCGUGCAGGAUGAAGGCCUUCGGGUUGUAAACUGCUUUUGUACGGGACGAAAAGUCUCGGGAUAAUACCCUGGGACCAUGACGGUACCGUAAGAAUAAGCACCGGCUAACUACGU
rnacentral:rRNA from 1 species